rnacentral:rRNA from 1 species
GACGAACGCUGGCGGCGUGCUUAACACAUGCAAGUCGAACGGAAAGGCCCUGCUUUUGUGGUGUGCUCGAGUGGCGAACGGGUGAGUAACACGUGAGUAACCUGCCCUUGACUUUGGGAUAACUUCAGGAAACUGGGGCUAAUACCGGAUAGGAGCUCCUGCUGCAUGGCGGGGGUUGGAAAGUUUCGGCGGUUGGGCAUGGACUCGCGGCUGAUCAGCUUGUUGGUGGGGUAGUGGCUUACCAAGGCUUUGACGGGUAGCCGGCCUGAGAGGGUGACCGGCCACAUUGGGCCUGAGAUACGGCCCAGACUCCUACGGGAGGCAGCAGUGGAGAAUAUUGCACAAUGGGCGGAAGCAUGAUGGAGCAACGCCGCGUGCGGGAUGACGGCCUUAGGGUUGUAAACCGCUUGCGCCUGUGACGAAGCGUGAGUGACGGUAAUGGGUAAAGAAGCACCGGCUAACUACGUG